AGCCAUUGUUAACUAACUUAGCAGCUAGAUAGCUAACCUCUAUUAACCAAGUCCUGUUUCCAACGCGGAUUAAAGACUACAUGGGGGUAACAGAGGAAGGCAACGUCCAGGCCCAGUUCUUCUAUGAACCCAUUCACCAGGCAUUAGAUGUGACGCCAAAGGAGAAGACAGACUUGCUGCUAGACUACAUACAGGGGGUCUCCCACUACUCUCUGUGAAGGCUGAAGCCCAGGGUGCCCUGAUCUUUCAAUCAUGGAUACUGUAGUGUUUAUCAUAGAGACCCUCCUGUUCCUAUCAGCCCAGGCCCUGCUCCAUCCCUGCACUGAGACUGUGAAGGGUCUGGGCUGCAGACUGGAUCCCUGACUGGAGCCUCCGUCUCUCUGAUGACCACCAGGACUGAGAUUGUUCAGUCCACCUGUCGUGUUGUGGUGAAGUCUCUGUCCUUCGCGGUUGGGUCCUGGUCCCGACUCUGGAAGGAAGAGUGGUGGCUCCUGAUCCGGGUCCAGGGUUUGUGACCAACAUCCUCAGAGGUCCACUCUCUCCCACCUGUAACACUGGAUAUCAGCAGGUCUUCAGGGACAGCAGACUGUAAAAAAAGUUUAUACAGAAAAGCAUAAAGGGUUAUAAGACAUUCUUUGCUGUACAUACAGAAGCAUGACAUGUUAUAAAAUGUUAACCACAGCCAAGCCCAUCUCUAAAACUGUGAUUCAAGUACCUAACAAUAUGGAGCCAUUGGAGUUAAUUAUAUAAAAAAAUGUCCAUAUGUUUUGAUUCAAGAAUUUAAGUAUAAUGUUUUGAUUAGACUGAUUGAUUAGACAUAAGGGAAACUCAGUCCCUGUAACGAUACAAAAAUAUCCAAGUCAGUCAGCACAGUGUCAAUUUUGUAUUUAAUUUGAUCAAAAUGGUCAUACACUAACACCUGAGGUACAGUAUUUUUAUUGCACAAAUUAAUAUGUAAAGUAGAAUAACUUCUCACUAUGUUAACUCUAGAAAUCUGUUACCCUCGACCAGUAUCUAAAGGGACAAAGUUGCCACUCUUCAUCAGUGAAGCAUUUUUAGACACCAUCACCUUAUCAUCUACUCUGCCUCAUCAUACUCAUUCUUUCCUCAGUUCUCCUCAUCCAGUUCCCUACUACACCCAAAACCAACAGAAUUAACUACAAACAAACUAGUACUACAUCACUAUAGUCAAUACAUGGGCGGUGUGCAUUUUCUGCUGGUGUACCCUGAGGUAGCCCCUCUCUGAGAACCUCUUCCCGCAGUGCGUACAGACGAACAGCCUUUCUCCCGUGUGGACCUUCAGGUGCCUCUUCAGUUGGUGCUGGUGAGAGAACCUCACACAAGGGGCAGCCAAACUAUUUCUCCCCUGUGUAGAUCCUCUGGUGGAUCUACGCCUGUUUACAAAAACGGAAGGCUUUCCCAUAGAAUGAACAUGGGAAGCGCCAUCAGUCUCCCUUCUCCUCCUGGAAGAGACAAGUGAUACAGAUUACACAGACAUACACUCCCUCAGGUAUGGCCUUUAUCUCUUUAUCUUGGCCAGGUCGCAGUUGUAAAUGAGAACUUCUCAAAUAGCCUACCUGGUGAAAUAAAUAAAAUAAAAAUGUACACACAGAAAAUAAAAACACUUUCAACGGUGUUUACCCAUCCCCAUUAUGUUUGAGUCCUAUAUUGUAGUUACAGAAUUACUUAAUUGUUAAAUCCAUCAUGGUGGACAUAAAUAUGAGUCAGCUAUGAUGUCAGACAAAUCUGACUAAACUAUUUGAUGUGUACAGUAGGUGUUUGUUAGUGUGUGGGUAUAUGUAGGUAUAUUUAGUCCUAUAAUGGUCAUGAAGUGCUGUCAGGUGUAUGCAGAAUAGGUUGAGAUCAGAUGUGAUGUAUACUAAAGAGUCUUAAUGAGUCUUACAAUGUAAAGUCCCAUUUUGUGUUUAUGAAACAUAAGUUAAAUACACAUUAUGAAAACCACAAAUGCACAUGUCAACAAAAAAAGCAUGAGCUGCAUUUAUUAACUCAUUAAAAAUGGGAAAAAAUUAA